UACGGAGGGGGCUAGCGUUGUUCGGAAUUAUUGGGCGUAAAGGGCGCGUAGGCGGUUUGUACAGUCAGACGUGAAAUUCCUGGGCUCAACCUGGGGGCUGCGUUUGAUACGUGCGAGCUUGAGUUCGGAAGAGGGUCGUGGAAUUCCCAGUGUAGAGGUGAAAUUCGUAGAUAUUGGGAAGAACACCGGUGGCGAAGGCGGCGACCUGGUCCGAUACUGACGCUGAGGCGCGAAAGCGUGGGGAGCAAACAGG
rnacentral:rRNA from 1 species